rnacentral:rRNA from 1 species
AGAGUUUGAUCCUGGCUCAGAUUGAACGCUGGCGGCAGGCCUAACACAUGCAAGUCGAGCGGAUGACGGGAGCUUGCUCCCUGAUUUAGCGGCGGACGGGUGAGUAAUGCCUAGGAAUCUGCCUGGUAGUGGGGGAUAACGUUCCGAAAGGAACGCUAAUACCGCAUACGUCCUACGGGAGAAAGCAGGGGACCUUCGGGCCUUGCGCUAUCAGAUGAGCCUAGGUCGGAUUAGCUAGUUGGUGAGGUAAUGGCUCACCAAGGCGACGAUCCGUAACUGGUCUGAGAGGAUGAUCAGUCACACUGGAACUGAGACACGGUCCAGACUCCUACGGGAGGCAGCAGUGGGGAAUAUUGGACAAUGGGCGAAAGCCUGAUCCAGCCAUGCCGCGUGUGUGAAGAAGGUCUUCGGAUUGUAAAGCACUUUAAGUUGGGAGGAAGGGCAGUAAGUUAAUACCUUGCUGUUUUGACGUUACCACAGAAUAAGCACCGGCUAACUUCGUGCCAGCAGCCGCGGU